rnacentral:tRNA from 2 species
AUUUAAAUAGCUUAUUUAGAGCGAGAUACUGAAGAUAUCUAGGAAGUAGUUAUACUUUUAAAUA